rnacentral:rRNA from 1 species
UACAGAGGUCUCGAGCGUUGUUCGGAUUCAUUGGGCGUAAAGGGUGCGUAGGUGGCAGAGUAAGUCUGGUGUGAAAUCCCGGGGCUCAACCCCGGAACUGCACUGGAUACUGCUUUGCUAGAGUACUGGAGAGGAGAUUGGAAUUUACGGUGUAGCAGUGAAAUGCGUAGAUAUCGUAAGGAAGACCAGUGGCGAAGGCGAAUCUCUGGACAGUUACUGACACUGAGGCACGAAGGCCAGGGGAGCAAACGGG